rnacentral:rRNA from 1 species
UGAGCAACCUGCCCUUGACUCCGGAAUAACAGCUGGAAACAGCUGCUAGUACCGGAUAUGACCUCCGAUGGCAUCAUCUGGAGGUGGAAAGCUCCGGCGGUCAAGGAUGAGCUCGCGGCCUAUCAGCUAGUUGGUGAGGUAACGGCUCACCAAGGCAACGAUGCGUAGCCGACCUGAGAGGGUGUCCGGCCACACUGGGACUGAGAUACCGGCA